UACGGGGGGAGCAAGCGUUGUUCGGAUUUACUGGGCGUAAAGGGCGCGUAGGCGGCCUGUGCAAGUCAGUUGUGAAAUCUCCGGGCUUAACUCGGAACGGUCAACUGAUACUGCUCGGCUAGAGUGCGGAAGGGGCAACUGGAAUUCUUGGUGUAGCGGUGAAAUGCGUAGAUAUCAAGAGGAACACCUGCGGCGAAGGCGGGUUGCUGGGCCGACACUGACGCUGAGGAGCGAAAGCAUGGGUAGCGAACAGG
rnacentral:rRNA from 1 species